rnacentral:misc_RNA from 1 species
GGGGAUGAAUGUUCUCCACUCGUCUCUCAUAUUUUCUUUUCUCCCUUGCAUGUCCAAGUCCCCCUUUUCAGCUUUUCUAUCCAAGGGUAAUCCUGGUUUCCCAUUAUAGCAACUUCCUCCUCGUCUUUGCUUCACCAGUUCAACAAGACCUGCCGGUCUAACAAUGGCUUCAGUAUCAGCUUCUUGUCUCAGGUUCCAUCCUCUGCUUCUCCAGUCCAACCAGGUGCAGCUUCAGUAUUCCUUCGUAUUUUUUAAUUACAUUUAUUAAUUAGCUUUCAAUUUUAAUCCUAAAAACCAAACAAUUAAGUCCAUUUAUGAAGUUGGGACUCAGAUGUCUCUUAAAUCCAAGGAUAAAUUUUAGAACUGAAUGAAUUUGAGGAAACUACACAUAUGAUAUGACAUUUGAGUAUUUGCGUUUUGCAGCCAGCGCAGGGUAGUUUUAAGUUUGUUUCAGUGAGUUGGCCAAAGAGCUGGUUCCCUUCUUUAAAGGCCACCCGCUUCCACGUCUCCUGUGCGGUAAUUCCAUCCUCUCGUCUAUUCUUCUCUUCCUUGGCUAUUUGAAAUUGUUCAAUGUACAUUACAAUAUAUAUAAUUGGCAGGCAAAGCCAGAGACAGUGCAGAAAGUUUGUGACAUUGUACGGAAACAACUGGUUUUGUCUCCCGAGACCCUGCUCACUCCUGAAACCAAGUUCUCAGAACUUGGUGCUGAUUCCCUUGACACAGUGGAGAUAGUGAUGGGGUUAGAGGAAGAAUUUAACAUUAGCGUCGAGGAGGAUAGUUCUCAAAAUAUAACAACUGUCAAGGAAGCAGCAGACUUGAUAGAAAAACUGGUUCAAAAGAAAGCAGAAGCUGGAGCUUAAUUAAGCCAAGUCAAGCUCCAUGGUUGCAGAGUGGACUGUGUUAGGAUCAUUAACUUCGUGGAUUUGUUUUGCCUUGAUUAUUUCCAACUUGCUCCCGGUAUUCUUUGUUUAGAAGGCUAGCCAGGUUGAUUUAAUUUAAAGUUUUGUUUAUUGGUUGCGGAAGUAAUGAGUUAUUAUAUGUGGCUAUGACGCAUAUGGUUGAAUCAGAGGUUGCCUAAACUGAAGCCACAAGUAUCAAUUCAUGUGGUUCUUUCCUUUAUCUAUAAGCUGCUGGUUGCAUCUUUCAUGCGCUUGCUCAUCGUCCUCCAAAUUCAUGAUUAUUACCUAUCAAUUUACAGAGUGAAUGUGCAAGUGAUCCAUUGGAAGGGGAAAUAUUUGGAGCAGAGUGUGAUUAUCCAUCACAUUAGCCGCCCUUGAUUCCAUUUUAUAUAAUCUACUCACGAGUCAUAACCUUGCAGUUCCUAUGGCCGGCAAGCUUUAAUAAGCCAUUAAUAUGCCAAAAUUUAUGCUGUUUCUAAGCUCUCCAAACAUGAUGACGCGUCAGGUUUACAAUUGAAUGUCGUCGACGGUUUUAAAAAAUAAAAACGCUAUUUUAAUAAUAAUACUAAUGACAAUUAAGUGAAAUUAAAUUAAAUGCCAAUGACAAUUAAUUACAGAGCUGUAAUUUGUUAAAGUGGUCCCACUUGUCGGGUAGAACAGGGGAUGUGUGCAAACGGUUGACCAUUCACAGCGUCGGAAAAACAACAAUCUGCCCUGGAACCGUCGACACGUCACCGAUGUAACGGGCGGCCAUGAAAGAAUCGGGCACGUCACCACAUUUUCGCUUUUAGAUCUACCAACGGCUGACCCUCAAUAAGUUAUCCAAUGCUACCCGUAUUUACAGUAUUUAUAGAAUACUCGUGAGUGUAGAA